ensembl:snoRNA
ACCCUUUUAAAAGCACUCAUUUGACCUUUUGCUAAUGAUCCAUGGAGUCGUCAAGGAAAAGAAUAGUAAAAACACCACUUUGGGGUGAAGCGGCAGUAUGUUGUGUUAUUUUGCUUCAAUCAUUUGCAUGACAAGG